UGCCUUGUACAGCAAGGAGGAAGGUGGGAUGACGUCAAGUCAGCAUGGCCUUUAUGCCCUGGGCUACACACACGCUACAAUGGGUGGGAACAGAGGGUUGCCACGAAGCAAUUCGGAGCGAAUCCCUUAAAACCAUCCUCAGUUCGGAUUGCAGGCUGCAAUCGCCUGCAUGAAGCCGGAGCUGCUAGUAACCGCAGGUCAGCUAUACUGCGGUGAAUACGUUCUCGGGCCUU
rnacentral:rRNA from 1 species